rnacentral:lncRNA from 1 species
GCACACCUUGUAGUAGUCUGAUUCGUGGUCUAUGGGAAGGUGAAUUUCUUUAUCAGGUUUAAUUUAUUGUUGAGCUCAAUAUUCUGUUAAAUUUUUUAAAACUGACUGUGUGUGUGUUUGUAAUGGACGGAGUGCGUAAAAGGUUCGUGUGGACGGCGUGUCAAGCAACCACCCUUGAUUCUCACGGACGUCUGGAACUGCGCGAAAACUGGUGGCCCAAUAAGUACUAAACGCCUCUGCAUCGCAAGAGAUCACGAGAUACCGGUUGGCUUGCCACAAUUCCCGAUCUUCAAUGGCUUGAAUAAAAAUCCGCAGGGACAUCGUCUCUCCAAGGAAUACGUAAACUGUAAAACCAGAAAAAGAAAAAGGGGGACGGGUGCGUAGGAAUGCUGGGAAGAGUUCUUUGUUGGACAAUUUUUCGUCUCCACAGACCUGAGUCGUUAUACGAAAAGCUGCAGAUGUCAUUAUGUCCAAAUACUGUUACCACUCCUGACUGCAACAUCUCUUCUAGCGCAACUGUAACAGAUUGGUUAACUUUAACUUGCUUGAAUGUUAUCGCCAGUUGGAGGGUUUUCGAUAACUGUUGAUUGGCUUCAUUUACGGCCAUUUGUAGAGCGCUAUAAAUGUCUUUCUCUGUUCGAAACGCAAGGUGAUCUUGAGGAGAAGACAGAAAUCCGAUUGGAAGAUUUAUGCCGGACACUUUAACCGGAACCAGACAAAGAAGGAACACAAUCAAGAAAACUAGUUGGACGAGAAGAAAUUGAUGAGCUUUCCAUGGCGAGAACAGGUCUGGUUUCUUCUCCAUACUUUACAGUUACCGCGGACUCGAUUUUUUUAAAUUAUUCAGCUUCACCUAUUUUCACAAAUUAAGAUUUACUGCGACAUCCACAGAAAAUUGUUAUUUAAUAUUACCACGAGCCCGCUUGUCAAAAGAUCAAGAUUAUUCCGACAUUUCCGAGAAAUUGUGCAUCGGACCUUAUGGACGUGUUAAGCUGUCAAAUAAACAGACAUAUGAAUGACAAA